rnacentral:lncRNA from 1 species
AGUAACAGUCAGCCUCCUUGAAUUGGCAGAAAUACUGUGACUUAGUAGUAAUACUAUAACAUAACAGAUAUACUGUGAUGUUGCAGACAUAGUAUGUUUUUGCACUACUCAUUUGUAGUGAAAAAAAUUAGCAAUAUAAAUUACAGAUCUGUGAUAGUGUAUAAAUUUGUAGUGAAAAAAAAAUGUUGACCAAGGUGGGAUUGAACCCACGACCUUUGAGCUGCAGAGCCGUGUCAUUACUAAUUGCGCCACCUGGAAAGUGGGCGGAGGGCUGAAAGAUAGAGAGUUGACCAGCAGUUGCUGAAAACAACUGAAAAAGCAGAAUUAUCUGCUAAAAAAGAGGUGUAGACGCGCUUGAUGGAGAUGGCUUUAUGUGUAAGGGUACACUGAAGAGUGUCAAGAAAGGAGAGUGCAUGCAAGCAGGGAAGAUGUGUAGCAACUGUCACAGGUAGGAUUUGAACCUCUGCCACCAGGACUCACAGCAGCUGCUCAACCCUCUGAGCCAAAUGAGGUCUGGUCACAAAGGGGGUGGGUGUCUAAAACACAGAGACUUGAGCAGUCAGAAUUAGAUCGCGGUGAGAGGCGAAAAACGCCCGUUUUUGGUGUUACAAAACGUCGUGUAACUCAAAAACUAGGAGGGCUAGCAGCAUAAUUCUUGUACUGGGUGAAUCAGCGGACUUUGGUGUAUUUUGACUGCAAUUUUCAUUGCUCUUUGUACCUCCGUCGCGGAGAUAUGACGAGAGAAGAAACGGCUUCAUUUUCAGAGUGUGAAAACUGAGAGGAGGACAGAUUUCCACCCCUCAAACAAACGUAAUUUAUGGCUCAACGGUAAGAUGAAUAUAAAAACUGCUUCCACUGUGAGUGUCAGCAGUGUCUGAAGAUAUAUUGGCACAAGCCUCAUGUCCUAACUUUGCUUUGUUAAGGAGAUACGGCGAUUUGAAAAUGCCUCCUGUUACAGAAUUUCAGCUCUGAAUUUCAAAACCUCCCCAUAGACUUUGAAUGGGGAGUAACCAGACCAUGUGUCACUUCGAGGCAAAUUGCGAAAAAACGGUAAAUCUCACAAUAAAGAUAGUAACAUUGUCUGAAAGGCCAGCAAAAAUACCUACGUUUUGAUGUAUAAUUUGUGGGGGUUGAGUGGAAAUUGAGCGAGUAGCAAGAAGUUGUUUAGACAUGAAGAGAAAAUUCAGAACGGACCAGCACUC